GAUGAACGCUGGCGGCGUGCUUAACACAUGCAAGUCGAACGAGAAAUGAUAUUACGAUCUCUUCGGAGUGACAGUUUUAUUUCGAGUGGCGGACGGGUGAGUAACGCGUGAGCAACCUGCCCUAUACCGGGGGAUACCAGUUGGAAACGACUGUUAAUACCGCAUAAGCGCACGAUAAGACAUCUUGUUGUGUGAAAAACUCCGGUGGUAUAGGAUGGACUCGCGUAUGAUUAGCCAGUUGGCGGGGUAAAGGCCCACCAAAGCGACGAUCAUUAGCCGACCUGAGAGGGCGACCGGCCACAUUGGGACUGAGACACGGCCCAAACUCCUACGGGAGGCAGCAGUGGGGAAUAUUGCACAAUGGGCGAAAGCCUGAUGCAGCGACGCCGCGUGAGUGAGGAAGUAUUUCGGUAUGUAAAGCUCUAUCAGCAGGGAAGAAAGAAAUGACGUA
rnacentral:rRNA from 1 species